CGUGCACCAUUGGGGUCCCUCGGCCUGGCCUGCGGGGAUCCAGCUCUCCGACAUCCCCCGAGGGUUCCCAAACUGCGAGAGGGCGCAGGCCAGGCUGAGGGACCCCAGUGGUGCACG
rnacentral:pre_miRNA from 1 species